GGCGAACGGGUGAGUAACACGUGGAUAACCUGCCUCAAGGCUGGGGAUAACAUUUGGAAACAGAUGCUAAUACCGAAUAAAACUUAGUAUCGCAUGAUACAAAGUUGAAAGGCGCUACGGCGUCACCUAGAGAUGGGUCCGCGGUGCAUUAGUUAGUUGGUGGGGUAAAGGCCUACCAAGACAAUGAUGCAUAGCCGAGUUGAGAGACUGAUCGGCCACAUUGGGACUGAGACACGGCCCAAACUCCUACGGGAGGCUGCAGUAGGGAAUCUUCCACAAUGGGCGAAAGCCUGAUGGAGCAACGCCGCGUGUGUGAUGAAGGCUUUAGGGUCGUAAAGCACUGUUGUAUGGGAAGAAAUGCUAGAAUAGGGAAUGAUUCUAGUUCGACGGUACCAUACCAGAAAGGGACGGCUAAAUACGUGCCAGCAGCCGCGGUAAUACGUAUGUCCCGAGCGUUAUCCGGAUUUAUUGGGCGUAAAGCGAGCGCAGACGGUUGAUUAAGUCUGAUGUGAAAGCCCGGAGCUCAACUCCGGAAUGGCAUUGGAAACUGGUUAACUUGAGUGUUGUAGAGGUAAGUGGAACUCCAUGUGUAGCGGUGGAAUGCGUAGAUAUAUGGAAGAACACCAGUGGCGAAGGCGGCUUACUGGACAACAACUGACAUUGAGGCUCGAAAGUGUGGGUAGCAAACAGGAUUAGAUACCCUGGUAGUCCACACCGUAAACGAUGAAUACUAGGUGUUAGGAGGUUUCCGCCUCUUAGUGCCGAAGCUAACGCAUUAAGUAUUCCGCCUGGGGAGUACGACCGCAAGGUUGAAACUCAAAGGAAUUGACGGGGACCCGCACAAGCGGUGGAGCAUGUGGUUUAAUUCGAAGCAACGCGAAGAGCCUUACCAGGUCUUGACAUCUCCUGAAGCUUUUAGAGAUAGAAGUGUUCUCUUUUUAGACAAAGUGACAGG
rnacentral:rRNA from 1 species